CCUCCUCCUAAUAUGUCACCUAUGGAAUUUUUUCGCAAAGUUCCACCGCCUAAUAUCCGUCCGCAGACUCAUCCAAUGAUUCCUGAGCAGCUACAGCCAAAUCCACUUAUACCGCCACCUCAGCAAGUACCUCCUCCACCCCUUCAGAGUAGUCAAUCGCAGUUCUUUCCACUCAGUCAACCUACCCCCUCUUACACUCGGCUUCCUCCUCUGCCACCUUUUCAAGCCAAUGUUACGACUCCACCACUAACACAGUUUUCACACUCCAACCCUAACCCUAUUCAAGAGCAAUUUCCUCAAAGCAUCUAGGCUGCUUUUCCACCAGAGCAGAAUCAGUUUCAGUUUAAUACACCCCCUCCAAACCUCAACAUCGCGGCCGCUCAACAGGGGAAUUAAGCCGGAAAUAUACUAUGGCCUCUACAGCAGGUGACUGAUCCAACAGAAAGUGUACCACACCCCGAGUUGGGGUCGCUCUCUGUUCAAACUGGAGCUGUGACGCCAUCGAUGUCCGAUGCCUUUGAAUGCAGAGAGGGCUUUCCUUCAAAUUCAGAACCGUGCACGCCAUCACCUGUGAAACACAAACCACCGGGGCAUCUCCCUCCACAUUGGAAAUCAGCCACCGAUAGCCAAGGAAAAGUCUACUACUAUCAUGCCCUAACAAGUGGGAUGUUCCAAGCUGGGACAGCAGCCCCUCAUCAGAGGAAGAACACCCUUAUGUUGUCCCAGAACCUGAUCAUACAAGUAUUUCAGCUCACAGCUACGUUGAUAUGGACGAGGAUUCACCACCAAACCAAAAA